rnacentral:rRNA from 1 species
AUUGAACGCUGGCGGCAUGCCUUACACAUGCAAGUCGAACGGCAGCACGGGGGCAACCCUGGUGGCGAGUGGCGAACGGGUGGGUAAUACAUCGGAACGUGCCCGGUAGUGGGGGAUAGCUCGGCGAAAGCCGGAUUAAUACCGCACACGACCUGCGGGUGAAAGCGGGGGAUCGCAAGACCUCGCGCUAUCGGAGCGGCCGAUGUCAGAUUAGGUUGUUGGUGGGGUAAAGGCCUACCAAGCCGACGAUCUGUAGCUGGUCUGAGAGGACGACCAGCCACACUGGGACUGAGACACGGCCCAGACUCCUACGGGAGGCAGCAGUGGGGAAUUUUGGACAAUGGGCGCAAGCCUGAUCCAGCCAUGCCGCGUGCGGGAAGAAGGCCU